UACGUAGGGUGCGAGCGUUAAUCGGAAUUACUGGGCGUAAAGCGUGCGCAGGCGGUUUUGCAAGCCGGAUGUGAAAUCCCCGGGCUCAACCUGGGAAUGGCAUUCGGGACUGCGAGGCUGGAGUGCGGCAGAGGAGACUGGAAUUCCUGGUGUAGCAGUGAAAUGCGUAGAUAUCAGGAGGAAUACCGAUGGCGAAGGCAGGUCUCUGGGCUGACACUGACGCUCAUGCACGAAAGCGUGGGGAGCAAACAGG
rnacentral:rRNA from 1 species